GUGGGGGCCGCCGCGGUAAUACCGGCAGCUCAAGUGGUCGUCGCUUUUUUUGGGCCUAAAACGUCCGUUCCCUGUUUGGUAAAUAUGUGUGAAAAUCAACCAGAAUAACUGGUUGAAUUCUGCAGAGACUGCCAGACUAGGGACCGGGAGAGGUGUGGGGUACUCUAGGGGUAGGGGUAAAAUCCUGUCAUCCUUAGAGGACCACCAGUUGCGAAGGCGCCACACUGGAACGGAUCCGACGGUCAGGGACGAAGCCUAGGGGCACGAACCGGAUUAGAUACCCGGGUAGUCCUAGGUGUAAACGCUGUGAACUUGGUGUCGGGGAUCCGUCAUGGGUCCCCGGUGCCGGAGAGAAGAUGUUAAGUUCACUGCCUGGGGAGUACGGUUUUUAGGUUGAAACUUAAAGGAAUUGGAGGGGGAUCUCUGCAACGGGAGGAGCGUGCGGUUUAAUUGGAUUCAUCGCCUGAAAACUCACCCUCCCCCACUGUUAUAUAAACACCCCUGUGAUGAACUUGUCUGAUUUUCAGAUAGGUGGUGCAUGGCGGAAUGCUGUUCGUACUGAAAUGCGUUCUGUUUUUCAGGUAACGAACGAAACCCUCAUCUCUGUUUGCUACCUGUCUCUCCGGACACAGCCCACUAUAGGAACACCGCUGUUGUUAAACCAAAGGAUGGCGACGGCAACGACAGGUCAUGAUGCCACGAUCGUCCUGGGCUACACGCUCGCUACAAAGGACUUGACAUUGUGAGUCCCGUUCGAGAGGCCGAGCUCUCCCGACAUUCCGUACGUAGAUAUGAUUGAGGGCCUCUAUCUUUACCUCAUGAAGAUGGAUUCAGUAUGUAAUCGUAUUUCAAAAUCUACGAUGAUUUGCCCCUACUACU
rnacentral:rRNA from 1 species